rnacentral:rRNA from 1 species
GACGAACGCUGGCGGCGUGCUUAACACAUGCAAGUCGAACGGAAAGGCCCCCUUGUGGGGUACUCGAGUGGCGAACGGGUGAGUAACACGUGAGUAACCUACCCUUGACUUUGGGAUAACUUCAGGAAACUGGGGCUAAUACCGGAUAGGAGCUCCUGCUGCAUGGUGGGGGUUGGAAAGUUUCGGCGGUUGGGGAUGGACUCGCGGCUUAUCAGCUUGUUGGUGGGGUAGUGGCUCACCAAGGCUUUGACGGGUAGCCGGCCUGAGAGGGUGACCGGCCACAUUGGGACUGAGAUACGGCCCAGACUCCUACGGUAGGCAGCAGUGGGGAAUAUUGCACAAUGGGGGGAAGCCUGAUGCAGCAGCGCCGCGUGCGGGAUGACGGCCUUCGGGUUGUAAACCGCUUUCGCCUGUGACGAAGCGUGAGUGACGGUAAUGGGUAAAGAAGCACCGGCUAACUACGUG